rnacentral:rRNA from 1 species
GACGAACGCUGGCGGCAGGCCUAACACAUGCAAGUCGAACGCAUCCUUCGGGAUGAGUGGCGCACGGGUGAGUAACGCGUGGGAACGUACCUGGAAGUGCGGAAUAACCAUUGGAAACGAUGGCUAAUACCGCAUACGCCCUUCGGGGGAAAGAUUUAUCGCUUCCAGAUCGGCCCGCGUCCGAUUAGCUAGUUGGUGAGGUAACGGCUCACCAAGGCGACGAUCGGUAGCUGGUUUGAGAGGAUGACCAGCCACACUGGGACUGAGACACGGCCCAGACUCCUACGGGAGGCAGCAGUGGGGAAUAUUGCGCAAUGGGGGCAACCCUGACGCAGCCAUGCCGCGUGAGUGAAGAAGGCCUUCGGGUUGUAAAGCUCUUUCGGAUGUGACGAUGAUGACGGUAACAUCAGAAGAAGCCCCGGCUAACUUCGUGCCAGCCGCCGCCGUAA